UGGAGGUUGUAGUGAUGUUGUGUCUGUGUUGUGGAGGUUGUAGUGAUGUUGUGUCUGUGUUGUGGAGGUUGUAGUGAUGUUGUGUCUGUGUUGUGGAGGUUGUGGUGAUGUUGUGUCUGUGUUGUGGAGGUUGUGGUGAUGUUGUAUCUGUGUUGUGGAGGUUGUAGUGAUGUUGUAUCUGUGUUGUGGAGGUUGUAGUGAUGUUGUAUCUGUGUUGUGGAGGUUGUAGUGAUGUUGUAUCUGUGUUGUGGAGGUUGUAGUGAUGUUGUGUCUGUGUUGUGGAGGUUGUAGUGAUGUUGUGUCUGUGUUGUGGAGGUUGUAGUGAUGUUGUGUCUGUGUUGUGGAGGUUGUAGUGAUGUUGUAUCUGUGUUGUGGAGGUUGUAGUGAUGUUGUAUCUGUGUUGUGGAGGUUGUAGUGAUGUUGUGGA